CAUACAGGAUUCACAUUUGAAUCGACUUUUGCGGCUUAAUAUUUGCAGAUACUGGUCCAUAUCGCGAUUUGAUCUAAGUGUAAUGACCUACCUUGACAAAUUCCGUGACAUUCCGCGUUAAACUGUAAAUUCCGUUUUUAUAACUGGAUUCCGAGAUUCCGUCCGCAUUUUCUGCAUCGCGGAAAUCAUACGCCAAGAACCGGGUCGAACGGGUACUCGGUACCACCGGUACUUCAAAAAACCUGGUACCGUGACGUUUUCAUUUCUUUAGUACCGACUUGGUACCGAAGUACCGGGUCUUUUGACAACACUAGUGCAUAACAUCAAAAGUUUCAGAGAAACUGGAGAAAUCUCUUUGCAUAAGGGACAAGGCCAAAGACCUUUGUUGGAUGCCCAUGGUCUUUGGGCCCUCAGACGACGCUGCAUCACUCAUCUCCAUGAUUCUGUCAUUGACAUUACUAAAUGGACCCAGGAAUACUUCCAGAAACCACUGUCGGUAACCACAAUCCGCCGUGCCAUGUGCAGAUGCCAGCUGAAGCUCUAUCAUGCAAAAAGGAAGCCAUAUGUGAACAUGGUCCAGAAGCACCAUCGUGUCCUGUGGGCCAAGGCUCAUUUAAAAUGGACUGUUUCAAAGUGGAAAAGUGUUCUAUGGUCAGACGAGUCCAAAUUUGACAUUCUUGUUGGAAAUCACAGAUGCCGUGUCCUCCGGGCUAAAGAGGAGAGAGACCUUCCAGCGUGUUAUCAGCGUUCAGUUCAAAAGUCAGCCUAUCUGAUGGUAUGGGGGUGCAUAAGUGCAUACGGUAUGGGCCGCUUGCAUGUUUUGGAAGGCACUAUGAAUGCUGAAAGGUAUAUAAAGGUUUUAGAGCAAGAUAUGCUCCCUCCAGAUGACGUGUAUUUCAGCAGGACAAUGCAAAACCACAUACUGCAGCUAUUACAACAGCAUGGCAUGUAGUAGAAGAGUCCGGGUGCUGAAUUGGCCUGCCUGCAGUCCAGAUCUUUCACCUAUAGAGAACAUUUGGCGCAUCAUUAAAUGAAAAAUAUGUCAAAGACGACCACGAACUCUUCAGCAGCUGGAAACCUAUAUCAGGCAAGAAUGGGACCAAAUUCCAACACCAAAACUCCAGAAAUUCAUAACCUCGAUGCCCAGACGUCUUCAAACUGUUUUGAAAAGAAGAGGAGAUGCUACGACAUGUGGAGAUUUGCCUUGCACCUGAUACAUCAAUGAGGCUCUGGAAAUACCUCCUCUUCCUCCGCACUCACAUUUUCCGUGUCAAAGCCUAAUCAGACCGACUCACGCGUGAGCCGCUAAUGAUGCAACAAGUUCCGAAGGUAUUUCCUGAGGGAACAUGGGCCAUUAUCACAGCUGAAGGGAGUCAGGUUUCUCCACUAGACUUGCUCGCACUCAAAUCAAUACCUGUUUCUGAAUGCGUGGGCCUUUGCCAAGCUGCCUGACCCCCUCAGCUGGGGGAGCCCACUUUGUCAUGCUCAAUAUGGCUGUCUCUCUCCGAGGCCAGGGCAGGAUGCAGGCUUGGGGGCCCCAGAAAAGACUCAGAGGCCCCAGAAGAGCCUGAACUCGAAACACACAAAACAUUGAAAACAAGGGAGGAAGGACGAGAGCAGGAGGCCUGAAUACAGGUGUGCAGCUGCUGGUAGGCUGAUGUUACAGGUUGAGAAGGUCAGAGUAUGGCGGUUUAUCAUUCGGUACUGUUAAAAACAUUCAGAAUCAGAAAUGAAACACUGAAAAACUCUUGGGAUGGAAAGUUCAAUAACAUAUCUGAUACAAAAUGGCAUCACACAGCCUCAUAACUUGUGCUUAAUUGCUGUGCUUAAUGAGGAGAAAAACCUCAUCUGACAUCCAACAUGAACCCAUUUUGAUAAUUUAACCAAGAAGACCGUUUUGAUUCAUGACUCAAUUUCAGGGGCAGGAAGGAGUCAAAAUAUGUUCCCCUAACAUUUUCUUUAACUUCCUUCAAACCCAAAAUAUCUGCAGAACUGAUAAUGGAGAGGUCGAUUGGUGUUGUGGGAGUACGAAUUGUAAAAAUGAAUCAUAUUGCUGUCAAAAAAGGAAAAGCAACAGAGUCUUUCCAGAUGUGAGUUUUGGUCUUUGUCUGUGAUGAAGAUGCAGAUAUCUGGACAUCGUAAUCCCAAACUGGCUCGGAGCCCAGAACUUUCCCCCUAUGAUUAAUGGGGCAUCUGUGGAGAGAUGGAGUCAUGGCGAGGGGUACUUUGCUGCCUUUAGCUGAUGCAAUAGGGACAGGUGCUGAUUUAGUACACUCAGUUUGCUGACUAUCUACGCAAAGCUAAAAAGAAAUGUAAAAAUAAUAUUCCAUUACAAGUUAAAAUGACUACAUAGUGUAGACUAUAUAAAUACUUUUCUCCAGAAUGGAUUCUUUGAGGCUCUUAAGAGGGUAAUCAAACAAUCUCUGCAUAUGUAAGCAGUGACAGGCCGUGUGCUCACAUUACAAGGAAAAUAUGACAGAGAUCAAUGUUUCAAAUCUACUGUGCCAUGCGGGUAUAGGGGAUCUCAGCUGGUAGACAGUAAAUGAGCUUGUUACUUUUUAUCAGAGAACAUAUACAGUAUAUUGCUGCAGAGAGAACAGUUUCAAUCUCCAUUCUCUCUAUUGCUAAUCAAAACAAGAGGAAAAAGUAUUGAAUAUGCUUGUAAAAUGAAAGCUAUUAAAAACUCUAUGUUUAUAAGACAUAAUUGACUUUACACAUCUGAUAUAUGGCCCAAUUAUCUCACUUAUUAAUGUCCUGGCAUAAAGUGGAGGGCUUAUUUAAAUGGUUUUAACAAGUAAUAUUAACUAUGGCUUUGGAGUUUUUAUGGAGACAGAAUAGAAUGAAUAACAAACACUGAGAAAAGCUCAUUGAAGAUGGAUGCCUGCCAAAGUUGGCUCUUUUAUGAUGCUUUUUACAUAAAAAUUUGGAACCAAGUGCCCAUUGAAAUGAUCUUGGUUUUGAGUUUUGGAGCAGAACUAAUUUCCCUCCAGAAAGAAACUUGUCUAACUUCUUGUAUUUCUGAAAUGGACUGGAAUACUUUCUCUCAGAACCCUUUACACAACCCUUUA